rnacentral:rRNA from 1 species
CUAACAAGGAUUCCCCUAGUAACGGCGAGUGAAGCGGGAAGAGCACAAAUUAAAAAUCUACCUGGUUUUCAGGUCGAGUUGUAAUUUGAAGAAACGUUUUUGACGUUCCGGGUUGGGAUAAAUCCUUUGGGAUAAGGUAUCAUGGAGGGUGAGAAUCCCGUGUAUACCGACCGCAGGGAUGUUAUUUAAUACGUUUUCUAUGAGUCGAGUUGUUUGGGAAUGCAGCUCUAAAUGGGUGGUAAAUUUCACCUAAUGCUAAAUAUAAGCGAGAGACCGAUAGCGAACAAGUACCGUGAGGGAAAGAUGAAAAGAACUUUGAAAAGAGAGUUAAAUAGUACGUGAAAUUGUUGAAAGGGAAACGAUUGAAGUCAGUCAUGCCGGCGGGAAUCAACUUAGGGGAAACUCUAAGUGCACUUCACGUUUGGCAGGUCGGCGUCGAUUUUGGAUAUCAUAAAAUGAUUGGGGGAAGGUAGCUCCUUCGGGAGUGUUAUAGCCCUUGAUAGAUGUGAUGUCUGGGAUCGAGGAUUGCAACGGAUACCUUUUGGGCUAGCCGCCUGAUCUCUAACUGGUGUUGAGUUACGGACAGCAUGCUGACCGUGAUUUAAUUACUGGUUAAGAGGUUAGAGCGAGUGUAAAUUCGUUAAGGACGC